UCCUAGUGCCAGAAAAGAGAGAUUCUAACUCCCACCCCCAACUCCCAAAGCUAGGAUUCUAAACUAAACUAUUUUCUG
rnacentral:tRNA from 1 species